GUGGGGAAUUUUGGACAAUGGGCGCAAGCCUGAUCCAGCAAUGCCGCGUGCAGGAAGAAGGCCUUCGGGUUGUAAACUGCUUUUGUACGGAACGAAACGGUCCGGGUUAAUACCCUGGGCUAAUGACGGUACCGUAAGAAUAAGCACCGGCUAACUACGUGCCAGCAGCCGCGGUAAUACGUAGGGUGCAAGCGUUAAUCGGAAUUACUGGGCGUAAAGCGUGCGCAGGCGUGUUUGUAAGACAGGCGUGAAAUCCCCGGGCUCAACCUGGGAAUUGCGCUUGUGACUGCAAGGCUGGAGUGCGGCAGAGGGGGAUGGAAUUCCGCGUGUAGCAGUGAAAUGCGUAGAUAUGCGGAGGAACACCGAUGGCGAAGGCAAUCCCCUGGGCCUGCACUGACGCUCAUGCACGAAAGCGUGGGGAGCAAACAGGAUUAGAAACCCUUGUAGUCC
rnacentral:rRNA from 1 species